UGCUGCGUGAACCUAAGACUCGGUAAGCACUGCCCGGUGCCGAGCGGGGUUAACGGCGGUUGACAAGCUUUAAAGUAGCAAAGUCCCUUGCCCCCUAAUUAGGGGCGCGCAUGAAGUGUGUACGAGGGAGCAACUGUCUCUAGUGACUGUGCUGGAAAUCGAACUUCAAGUGAAAUUGCUUGGGUGCUGCCAAAAGACGAGAAGACCCCGUGCAGCUUUAUUUAAGCGCAGCAGCAUUCUGUGUGAUUGUUUGGUUGGGGCAACAGGGGAAUAGAAAAAACUUCCCUGAAAAGGGGAUCAACUGAUGGGUUACUGAUCCAGAUCGUGACCGAACGAAAGGUGAGUUACGCCGGGGAUAACAGCGUGCUUUUGGAAUGGAGGUCACAUCGGUUCCUGAGAAGACGACCUCGAUGUUGAAUCAGGGGGAGCCCGGGCGCAGCCGCUCGGAGUUUCGGGUCUGUUCGUCCUUUAAACCCCU
rnacentral:rRNA from 1 species